AGUCGAGCGGAACGAGUUAUCUGAACCUUCGGGGAACGAUAACGGCGUCGAGCGGCGGACGGGUGAGUAAUGCCUAGGAAAUUGCCUUGAUGUGGGGGAUAACCAUUGGAAACGAUGGCUAAUACCGCAUAAUGCCUACGGGCCAAAGAGGGGGACCUUCGGGCCUCUCGCGUCAAGAUAUGCCUAGGUGGGAUUAGCUAGUUGGUGAGGUAAUGGCUCACCAAGGCGACGAUCCCUAGCUGGUCUGAGAGGAUGAUCAGCCACACUGGAACUGAGACACGGUCCAGACUCCUACGGGAGGCAGCAGUGGGGAAUAUUGCACAAUGGGCGCAAGCCUGAUGCAGCCAUGCCGCGUGUAUGAAGAAGGCCUUCGGGUUGUAAAGUACUUUCAGUCGUGAGGAAGGUUCAUGCGUUAAUAGCGUAUGGAUUUGACGUUAGCGACAGAAGAAGCACCGGCUAACUCCGUGCCAGCAGCCGCGGUAAUACGGAGGGUGCGAGCGUUAAUCGGAAUUACUGGGCGUAAAGCGCAUGCAGGUGGUUUGUUAAGUCAGAUGUGAAAGCCCGGGGCUCAACCUCGGAACUGCAUUUGAAACUGGCAAACUAGAGUACUGGAGAGGGGGGGGUAGAAUUCUCAGGUGUAGCGGUGAAAAUGCGUAGAGAUCAGAAAGGAAUACCAGUGGACGAAGGCGGCCCCCCUGCACAGAUACUCACACUCAGAUGAGAAAGCGUGGGGAGCAAACAGGAUUAGAUACCCGUGAUAGUACACGCCGUAAACGAGAUGUAUACUUAGAGGUUGUCCCCUGAGACCCGUGGCUCUCAGAGAUAACGGCGUAUAAAUAGCCCCCGUGGGGAGUACUGUCGCAAGUUUAAAUCUCAAAUGAAUUGACGGGGGCCCGCACAAGCGGUGGCACAUGUGGUAUAAUUAGAUGCAACGCGAAGAACCUUAUAUUCUCUUGACACCGAGAGAACUUCGCAGAGAUGCUUUGGUGCUUUCGGGAUCUGUGACACAGGUGGCACAUGGCUGUUCUCAUCUCGUGUUGAGAAAUGGUGGUAUAAGUCCCGCAGCGAGCGCAACCUUUAUCCUUUUUUCACAGCGUGUAAUGUCGGGAUCCACAGAGAGACUCCCGGUGAUAACCGGGAGAGAGGGGGGGGCGACCUCAAGUCAUCAUGCCCCUUACGAAUAGGUCUACACACGUUAUACAAUGGCGCAUACAGAGGGCACACAACUCGCGAGAGAGAGCGAAUCACAAAAAGUGUGUUAUAGUCCGGAUGGGAGUCCACAUCUCGUCCACAAGAAGUGGGAAUCUAUUGUUAUUGUAGAUCAGAAUUCUACGGAGAAUACGUUCCCGGGCCUUGUACACCGCGCCUCUCACAACAGGGGAGUGGGCCGCAAAAGAAGUGUAUAGUAUAACCUUCGGGAGGACGCU
rnacentral:rRNA from 2 species